rnacentral:rRNA from 1 species
UACGUAGGUGGCGAGCGUUGUCCGGAUUUACUGGGCGUAAAGAGCGCGCAGGCGGUCGUACAAGUCGCGUGUGAAAGCCCCCGGCUCAACUGGGGAGGGUCACGCGAUACUGUUCGACUCGAAGGCAGGGAGAGGGAAGUGGAAUUCCCGGUGUAGUGGUGAAAUGCGUAGAGAUGUGGAGGAACACCGAUGGCGAAGGCAGCCCCCUGGGCGUAACACUGACGCUCAUGCACGAAAGCGUGGGGAGCAAACAGG